AAGAUGGCGACCGGCGCACGGGUGAGUAACACGUAUCCAACCUGCCGAUAACUCUGGAAUAGCCCUUCGAAAGAAAGAUUAAUACCGGAUGGCAUACGAAUAUCGCAUGAUAUUUUUAUUAAAGAAUUUCGGUUAUCGAUGGGGAUGCGUUCCAUUAGUUUGUUGGCGGGGUAACGGCCCACCAAGACAACGAUGGAUAGGGGUUCUGAGAGGAAGGUCCCCCACAUUGGAACUGAGACACGGUCCAA
rnacentral:rRNA from 1 species